CCGUUAGACUUGAUCUACACUAUUGAAAGUAUUUGGAAACUAAAUUUCAAAUUUUUUCGACAUCAUUUGACUAGUGAUCAAAAGAUCUCAAAAUUGACAAUUUUAAUGGCCGAUGUGGUGUGUUUGUGAGUUUAACGGUGUAAAACAAUCCAAAUGCGAUGAAAAUUUUAUAGAAAAUUCUUUUCACUAUUUAGAAUAAGAUCAGUAUAUCUGAUCUUGAAUUUAAAUCUUUUAUCAUCAUUUUUUAUGAGAUUUUUAUUUUCAGCCGUUCAAUUUUAGACUACUUGUUUGAUAGGUAAAUGAUAUCGAAAAAUUAUGAAAUUUAGUUUCUAAAUACUUUCAAUAGUGUAGAUCAACUCUAACGGAGCCGAUCGUCGAUUUGGAAGCCACAUCAUCGAAAACAACUUGGUAGCACGGAGCACUCCGUGCUACCGAUAGUAUAGUAGCCUAGCUCAUAUAUAUAUAUAUAUAUAUAUAGUCUGGCUACUAUAAUCUUAUGAGUAUAGACCAGUUUGUACUCAUAAGUUUUAGGCCGUUAGAUCUAUCUCUUUAACCAUUUUCACCUGUUGGAUUAUACUAUUCAACCAACUACCCACUCAACCCUAGGGGACCACUACCAUCCUAAUUGGGUGCCACUGUCAUCCUAACCACACAUCCCUUCAUCUAACGGCAGAAAACUUAUGAGUACAAAUGGCUCUAUACUCAUAAGAGUAUAGUAAUCAUAGCCUAUAUAUAUAUAUAUAUAUAUAUAUGAUUCGACUUCUGCAAGUUGCUAUAUUCUCCUUGUGAACCCUACUACCAAUCAAAAAUGUUAAACUUGAUUACUGACUUCAUAUGAGGUCGAGGUUCCAAGCCCUUUGGCUCAAGGUUGAUGAUACAUAGUCAGGACCUGUGUCAUUCAUAGACUUGGCACUUGGUCCAUGACCUUACGGGACAUCUUUCCUUCAAUCCUUAUACACAUAUGUUAUGAAAACCUGCCAGCUUAAUCGGGGGUUGUUUAUAGUGUGAACAGUGCACACGUUAAACGUAAUUAACUAGAAUUCUGCAUGAAUUCUACGGAGCAGAGUUCCUACAUUCACCUGAUACCCACCCCUUUACACAUUUCUCCUUGUUUUAAUAGAAAGAGCCAGUAGUUAGACUGCAGCUUUGAUAGACUGAUCGAUUGAAUAGAGAUAGCUUAGGUCAAAUCUGUUGGUAGGCCCUUGGUUGCAAAGAAGAAGAGCCCAAUUCCUCUGUGUGUGCACGCGUGUGUGUAUAUCUAUAAAAGAAUUUAACAAAAUAUUAUAUGUUACAUAGUAUAAUUAUAUUCAAAUAUACAAUAAUAGAGAAAAGUAAAAAUAUAUAUAAAAGUUCCCGUCUCCAUUUCCUAUCAUCCAAGCAAGCACUAUGGAAAAUCUGUUUUCUUUUCCCAACCAACCAAAACAUCAAAGACCGUAAAAUUACUUUUCAACUAAAAAUUCUUUUCAGCGGAAAACUAUUUUGAACUAUUUUACAUUGAACCAAACAGCUCUUAAGUAAUUAUAAUGAGCACAUGGAACAAAAAUUAUUACUUCACUUUUAUUUAUCAUUUGAAAUGUUAAGUUCUGCUAGAAUGAGGCCUUUUUAAUUGUCAAAACAACUGGUAAUAACUUGUACAUUAUGAAAUAUGGGCAUGUUUCUUUGUAAUUGCAGAUUAGGAGCCUGAUUUGUAGCUAUGACAAAUUCAACAACUAACUUGCACUACUAGUCCGUAAGCUUCCAGUCAAGUUUCACUUCAUUCCUUUCAAUGUUCGAGACUGUAAAUUUUUAAUAAGUUCUCAUUCUACACCCUAAACUUUGAAUAGUGUUUCACUUAG
rnacentral:lncRNA from 1 species